GCAUGGGUGGUUCCGUGGUAGAAUUCUUGCCUUCCAUCCAGGAGACGUGAGUUCAAUUCCCAGCCAAUGUA
rnacentral:tRNA from 1 species